rnacentral:ncRNA from 1 species
UGGCUAUGAAGCAAUAGACUGUGUCGGUAUCGCAGCCCAUUGUGGAGCCCGACCUUGGGUUAUGCGAUAACCUCUAACCGAAUAGGCUCUUUGGAGCUGAAAGAUACGCUUUUA